AUUGAACGCUGGCGGAAUGCUUUACACAUGCAAGUCGAACGGUAGAGGGGGCAACCCCUCGAGAGUGGCGAACGGGUGAGUAAUAUAUCGGAACGUGCCCAGUCGUGGGGGAUAACGUAGCGAAAGUUACGCUAAUACCGCAUACGAUCUAAGGAUGAAAGCGGGGGAUCGCAAGACCUCGCGCGAUUGGAGCGGCCGAUAGCAGAUUAGGUAGUUGGUGGGGUAAAGGCUCACCAAGCCAACGAUCUGUAGCUGGUAUGAGAGGACGACCAGCCACACGGGAACUGAGACACGGUCCAGACUCCUACGGGAGUCAGCAUUGGGGAAUUUUGGACAAUGGACGAAAGUCUGAUCCAGCCAUUCCGCGUGCAGGAUGAAGGCCCUCGGGUUGUAAACUGCUUUUGUACGGAACGAAAAGGUCUCUCUUAAUACGGGGGACUCAUGACGGUACCGUAAGAAUAAGCACCGGCUAACUACGUGCCAGCAGCCGCCGUAA
rnacentral:rRNA from 1 species